GAUGAACGCUAGCGGGAUGCCUAACACAUGCAAGCCGAGCGGUAGAGUUCCGUCGGUGCCUUUAUGGCGGCGGACGGGGGCGUAACACUUAUGCAACCUACCUUUAUCUGUGGGAUAGCCUUUCGAAAGGAAAAUUAAUACUCCAUAAUAUAAUGAUUGUCAUCAAUUAUUAUUGAAAACUCAGGUGGGUAGAGAUGGGCACGCUCAAGAUUAGAUAGUUGGUGAGGUAACGGCUCACCAAGUCAAUGAUCUUUAGGGGUCCUGAGAGGGAGAUCCCCCACACUGGUACUGAGACACGGACCAGACUCCUACGGGAGGCAGCAGUGAGGAAUACUGUACAAUGGGUGAAAGCCUGAUCAAGCCAUCCCGGGUGAAGGAUGACGGUCAUCUGGAUUGUAAACUUCUUUUGUAGAGGGAUAAACCUACUAUCGUGAGGGUAGCUGACGGUACUGAACGAAUAAGCACCGGCUAACUCCGUG
rnacentral:rRNA from 1 species